AUACUUACCUGGCAGGGGAGAUACCAUGAUCACAAAAGUGGUUUUCCCAGGGUGAGGGUUAUCCAUUGCACUACGGAUGUGCUGACCCCUGAGAUUUCCCCAAAUAGAGGAAACUUGACAGCAUAAUUCGAGGUAGUGGGGGACUGUGUUUGCACACUCCCCUG
ensembl:snRNA U1 U1 spliceosomal RNA